GGCGAACGCUAGCGGUACGCCUAACACAUGCAAGUCGAGCGGGAUUUUUUUAGAAGCUUGCUUCUGAAAAACAAGAGCGGCAAACGGGUGAGUAACACGUUGGUACUUGCCCCUUGGUCAGGGAUAGCCCAUCGAAAGAUGGGUUAAUACCGGAUAGUCUCCUCGGAGUAAAGAUUUAUCGCCAAGGGAGAGGCCUGCGUUCUAUCAGCUAGUUGGUGAGGUAAUGGCUUACCAAGGCUAUGACGGAUAACUGGUCUGAGAGGAUGAUCAGUCACAAUGGAACUGAGACACGGUCCAUACUCCUACGGGAGGCGGCAGUGAGGAAUAUUCCACAAUGGGCGAAAGCCUGAUGGAGCGAUACCGCGUGAAGGAUGAAGGUCUAACGAUUGUAAUCUUCUCUUCUGAGGGAGCAUAAUGAUAGUACCUCAGGAAUAAGGGACGGCUAAUUACGUGCCAGCAGCCGCGGUAAUACGUAAGUCCCAAGCGUUGCCCGGAAUUACUGG
rnacentral:rRNA from 1 species